CGACCCCGCUUCCUUUUACAGUAGCGGAUAGUCGAGUAUCGGUGGAUAAACAGCAACACAAUAUACAGUCGAAGUGUUUUCUUUACCGGUUGUUGAACGACGUUUCACCGUUUCUCGUCUGUCAAAAAGUCAAACAGAAGUGUUUCUGAUCUUUACUAUUUUUCACAUUACGGUUAGGUUAAUAAGCUAUUUAUCCGUGUUUACAGCAGGGACGUGCGAGCAGGGGAGGCCUCACCUGUCAUCAUGUAAGGAAAUAAUGAAGAAGACUGCCUGCUUCUUCCAGGAAGGAUGAAGGUGACAUUCAGGAAGAGUCAAUCACGCCAUCUACAGCAGGACCCUUUUGAUGAAACCAAAAUCCUCACAUUUAAGGAGCUGGAACCAGAGAAUGUUUGCUUGUUUAUGACUUGUUUAUGAAUACACUGUACUGUAUAUUCACUGUAAAUUCAAUUUACUGUUCAUUUGUUUAAUAUAUUAUUUAUUUAGGUAUGUUCAGAAUUCAGCUUGUUUUUCUAUAAUAUAUCUUGAAAGUAUUA